rnacentral:lncRNA from 1 species
AGGAGGGACACUGCCUUCUGUGGACCCAUGCUAUUCCUUGUUCUCUGGACAAGCGGCAGAGUCCACAGCCUUAUUCUUCAGCCUCCUGGUGAACACGCAUCCUAGAACCUUCCUCUCCCACUUCCUUUGCUAGAAGCCAGUACUAGGACAUUGCUGACUCAGUAUCCUUUGAAAUAUCAUGACUGGUCAGAUUGUCGGCCAGCCACCUUGUGGGGAUACUUUUCUCAGUUGCCCUGCUGCCAUUCCCUGCCAGCUCCCCCCUUCUUCACCAAUGUCAUCUCUGCCUUCAAUCCCUUCCCUCUCCUAAUUGGCCCUCAUAGCCAGCACUUUCCUAUAGCUUUCUGUUUUUCUACCUCUGUAUUUUAUGCCCUUCUCUGGGGAUGGAUUUGGUGAUCAUUGGCAUAGGUCCUGCCCCAUUCAUAGAUCCUGACCCAGCCCCUGCCACGGGCCCCUUUCCAGGCUUCACCUUAGGUCCUUGGAUGGUCAUCUCCAUAUCCAUCAAUAUACCAAGCUCUUCUUUGCUAAUGCAAAAGCAAUAAAGUAUGUUGGUUGGAAAAGAU